CAGACAGCGACUGAAGGAGGUCAUUGUAAAGUGGAUUGUGGAAAGCGUUGAUGGGGGCAGUAGAGAGGUCAGAAAGGUGACUCUGAAGGGUAGAGAGUUUGGUUCUGAUUAAAGACCAUUUGCCUUUGAAGCUUUGGGUGUGGGGAAUGGAAUCAAGAAGAGAUUGAAGGAGUAGGGAAUUGGAGUGAGUCGGAUCGUUUUCAGGUACUUUCAUGGCGGCUUUUUUAGCAGAGAGAGAGAGAGGGAAAAAUGAAAGAGAAAGAGAAAAUGUGCGUG
rnacentral:misc_RNA from 1 species